rnacentral:snoRNA from 1 species
GAGGAAAUGAUGAUUCAUAUGAUUAUUCUGAUGCAUUUGAUGUUCAAAAUUGAGCUUUUUAAACCUGAUACUCA